ensembl:lncRNA
UUUGUCUGUACCUUCUAGCUCUCCUUCCACCCUUCUGUCCACUUCAUCUCUGUUUAUGUCUUCUUACAGUUUCCCUCUUGCUCUUCCCUCUACGACAAUACCAUCUACUCCACCAGAGAUUGUCAUGCUAUAGGGAGAUGAAAGGGGCUGUAUUAAUUAUUACUGGAGAAAGCGUAACUGUCAACUUGGAUCACGUGUGCCUUAAAGGCAUACUCCAUCCCAAAAUGAGAAUUUUGUCAUUUAUCACUUACCCCCAUGUCGUUCCAAAUCCAUUAAGGCUUUGUUCAGCUUCAGAACACAAUUUAAGAUAUUUUGUAUGAAAACCGGGAGGCUUGUGACUGUCCCAUAGACUGCCAAGUAAAAUACACUUUCAUGUUCCAGAAAAGUAUGAAAAGCAUCGUCAGAAUUGUCGAUCUGCCAUCAGUGGUUCAACCGUAAUGUUAUGAAACGACAAGAAUACUUUUUGUACGCGAAAAAAAAAAGACUUUCAACAAUUCAACAAUUUGUCCCCUCCGUGUCACUCCACAUAAGCGUAGUGCCAUUUUGGCGAAUCUGAGCUGUACGCAGGCAGCUUAUGCUCUUCUGUGUCAGCCGCGCCACAAGGAUACAUUUAAACUCUAAAAAUAGUUCAAUCCAAAACUAUUGUUUAAUGUAAAACAUGUUGAAGAUUAGCCAAUAGGCUGUCUAUUCAUUAAAUGAUAAGCUGUUUCCUUUAAAAAGCUGUUUAUUCAGCAAAGUGAGGCCUCUCCAUUCCUUUCCUGUUUUUUUACAUCCUCCCCCCUGCUCAUCUCUUUUUACCUGUUCCAUUCUUCUUCUCUCUGUCAUUACACCAAUUUCUCUACCCACUCCACAACCUUUUGGACUUACACCUUUUUCUUUACCUUUUCUUUGUUUGUUGUGUUUGGACAAAUGGCUUCUUCUGGUUUUCAUUCUGAGGCAUUCAGGGUUCAGAGAGUUUAACUCAGGAGGGUUUGUGGAAUGACUUUGACCCAGUACAAAGGCUCAGUGGGCUUACCUCCAUCCAAGAUCUCCUUUGUCUACCUCGUGUUCUCCAGCGUCUCCUCUGAUCUCCAUACUCCAAACCCUCUAUACUCAUCUAUCCCCAGCUCCUGGCAACCUCCAUCAUCUCAUCUGUUCAGUGU